rnacentral:rRNA from 1 species
CCCUUAGAUGUUCUGGGCCGCACGCGCGCUACACUGAGCCCUUCAUCGAGUUUACAACCUUGGCCGGUAGGUCUGGGUAAUCUUCUCAAAGGGGCUCGUGCUGGGGAUAGAUUAUUGUAAUUUUUAAUCUUCAACGAGGAAUUCCUAGUAAACGCAAGUCAACGGCUUGCAUUGAUUACGUCCCUGCCCUUUGUACACACCGCCCGUCGCUACUACCGAUUGAAUGGCUUAGUGAGCCCGAGGGACUGUUGCACCUAGAGGGUUUUCUCUCCAGGAGCAGCCGGGAACUCGGUCAAACUUGAUCAUUUAGAGGAAGUAAAAGUCGUAACA